rnacentral:lncRNA from 1 species
GAGACUUGGACUUUGCUUGCUUGCCAUUUGUGCUCAUUCGCACAUACUUGUGAGGGUCGCUCCCUACAAGCCGGCACUCCGGAGUUAGCCUACGCGACUUUUGUUCGCUCGUGCGGUAUCGAGAAGCCUACGGGGUCGAGUGGGACAGACACAUUCCAUGAGUAGGAAUGUCGGGCUACCACAGGCACUUAGGCGGCACAAGCUGGACUACCUUGGGUAGGUCCCUAAUUGGAAAUGGAAAUCGACACGGUUUGAGAAUGAACAAUCACUACUAGA